UGUUCAGAAAAAGAAAUAUAUAUAUUUUUCUGCGGUAAUGUUGGAGAUUUUCAAUAAAUACAAAUUCAUACCGUUUUAGGGUUCUCAGGUGAAAAGAGGCAAUGCAUGAUGGGCAUGUUUUGACUUCAUUUAUUAUGGUUUAUUAUGGUUGCUGCCAUCACCACUAGAUGGCGACUCUAAGAAAAAGGAGGUGAACAAAGGCGUGGAGGCAGUAGAAAAAGAAGCAAAGCAUGAUGUUCUACGAAUGCUGUCUCAUCCACCGAAUAUGUGUGCUCACACUUUUGUAGCAAAUUAGCCUCUGACUGAAGAUGGUGUGCGCGGUAAAGACUUCGGCCCCGGCGACUUGUACAACUCAUACUUACCUGGCAGGGGAGAUACCGUGAUCAAGAAGGUGGUUCACCCAGGAUGGCGACUCUAAGAAAAAGGAGGUGAACAAAGGCGUGGAGGCAGUAGAAAAAGAAGCAAAGCAUGAUGUUCUACGAAUGCUGUCUCAUCCACCGAAUAUGUGUGCUCACACUUUUGUAGCAAAUUAGCCUCUGACUGAAGAUGGUGUGCGCGGUAAAGACUUCGGCCCCGGCGACUUGUACAACUCAUACUUACCUGGCAGGGGAGAUACCGUGAUCAAGAAGGUGGUUCACCCAGGAUGGCGACUCUAAGAAAAAGGAGGUGAACAAAGGC